GUUUCAGAAGUUAGGUGCAACAUGUCUAAGUUGGAAGGUGAUGCAAGGGACUUUUUGAAUCGAACAAGGCAGAUCGUCGACCAAAUGUUCAGCAAGUAGGACAGUCGAAGGAUUUGGCUUCUGCAGAACAAACUUGUCCAGUUAAUCUAUUACCAAAUGGACAGGGGAUUCAACCUGUAAGUGGAGUAAUUCAAAAUCAAGCUGAAAUUUCAACUGCCAACAUUACGGUUAAUUGGGAUUCAACCUGUAAGUGGAUUAAUUAAAAAUCAAGGUGAAAUUUCAAC
rnacentral:lncRNA from 1 species